CCAGGAGUCCAGGAUUUCUGAGUUCAUGUCCAGGUUGCUCUCUUUCUGAGGAAUAGUAAAGACUUCAUCGGGGAUGAUGUACUGUCCAUCUUCUGUGGUCUUACAGUUGGUGAGCUUGUCUUCUUCAGCACAUGCUACUGUGGUCCAGAUGAGGGCUGUGACAAUGAAGCUGUUCAUGGUGAAGAUAGCCCCAGUCACACACUAGUCCUGGACAUCCACCAGAGAGCCUGGGGCAAACUGAAAGACAGAAAGAAAGCAAUUGCUUAAACAGUAGUCGCUUGAAAUUUUAACAAUUCUCCUGAAACCGUACAGGGUAUUUCUACCUCGUGGACAAGCCUUAGAUUUCUCAUUGGCUUACUGAGACUGGAGGCUGUCCUCUCAGAAGAAAGGGGGGAGAGUAGCGUGCACGCACGUUUUGUGAUGUCUCAUCGCUACAAGCCCUCCUGUUUUGGUGUGUGUAUGAUGUUAUCUGGGGCUGAGAUAAAGAAUGAAGACAAUUCUGUUUGCAGUAUCCUGGGACACUUCAGUCUGACUUGCCCUAAGCAUUUCAUGCAUGGCUGGCUGGAAGUGGAAUACUCUCCCUCCUACAUUCAUCUGGAGACAGACAAGCAAUUUCUCAUUCUUUGUUGCUCACUCUUUUGAAAGAAGAAUCGCAGCGAGGUCAAUGUAGGCAGUUCUAAAUCUAGAUGUUUCUAAACACUUAAUGUCUGCCUUUUUUUUUUGCUACAGUCUUCCUUCUCAAUUUUGGCAUAGGAAGUGAAAAUUAAUAUAGCCAUGGAAUUCAUCAAGGGUUAUAUAGCAAAAUGUUUUAGUAGGACAAGGACAAGAGAAGUCAAGGAGAAGUGAAUAUAAUCAAAAUAUAUUAUGCACGAAGACGCCAAGAUGAAUCCCAUUAUGGAUAAUUGAUACAUGCUAGUAAAAUAGUUAAAUUUUAGAAAAAUAAAUACAAAAAUUUAAUUUUUUAAAUUCAUUUUACAUACCAACCACAGUUCCUCCUCCCUCCCCUCUUCCUGCUCCUCCCCAUCUUCCCUC